ACGGGAGGCAGCAGUAGGGAAUCUUGCGCAAUGGGCGAAAGCCUGACGCAGCGACGCCGCGUGCGGGAAGAAGGCCUUCGGGUUGUAAACCGCUUUCAGGAGGGACGAAGCCACUCGGGUGAACAGCCCAGAGGGUGACGGUACCUCCAGAAGAAGCCCCGGCUAACUACGUGCCAGCAGCCGCGGUAAUACGUAGGGGGCAAGCGUUGUCCGGAUUCAUUGGGCGUAAAGAGCGUGUAGGCGGCCAGGUAGGUCGGCUGUGAAAACUGGAGGCUCAACCUCCAGCCGUCGGCCGAAACCAUCUGGCUAGAGUCCGGGAGAGGAGAGUGGAAUUCCUGGUGUAGCGGUGAAAUGCGCAGAUAUCAGGAAGAACACCCGUGGCGAAAGCGGCUCUCUAGAACGGUACUGACGCUGAGACGCGAAAGCGUGGGGAGCGAACAGGAUUAGAUACCCUGGUA
rnacentral:rRNA from 1 species